rnacentral:rRNA from 1 species
UGGGGAAUAUUGCGCAAUGGGGGGAACCCUGACGCAGCCAUGCCGCGUGAAUGAAGAAGGCCUUCGGGUUGUAAAGUUCUUUCGGUAUUGAGGAAGGUUGAUGUGUUAAUAGUACAUCAAAUUGACGUUAAAUACAGAAGAAGCACCGGCUAACUCCGUGCCAGCAGCCGCGGUAAUACGGAGGGUGCGAGCGUUAAUCGGAAUAACUGGGCGUAAAGGGCACGCAGGCGGUUAUUUAAGUGAGGUGUGAAAGCCCUGGGCUUAACCUAGGAAUUGCAUUUCAGACUGGGUAACUAGAGUACUUUAGGGAGGGGUAGAAUUCCACGUGUAGCGGUGAAAUGCGUAGAGAUGUGGAGGAAUACCGAAGGCGAAGGCAGCCCCUUGGGAAUGUACUGACGCUCAUGUGCGAAAGCGUGGGGAGCAAACAGGAUUAGAUGCCCUGGUAGUCCACGCUGUAAACGCUGUCGAUUUGGGGGUUGGGGUUUAACUCUGGCGCCCGUAGCUAACGUGAUAAAUCGACCGCCUGGGGAGUACGGCCGCAAGGUUA